AUUGAACGCUGGCGGCAGGCCUAAAACAUGCAAGUCGAGCGAGUGGCGGACGGGUGAGUAAUGUCUGGGGAUCUGCCCGAUAGAGGGGGAUAACUACUGGAAACGGUGGCUCAUACCGCAUACUAUCGGAUGAACCCAUAUGGGAUUAGCUAGUAGGUGGGGUAAAGGCUCACCUAGGCGACGAUCUCUAGCUGGUCUGAGAGGAUGAACAGUCACACUGGGACUGAGACACGGCCCAGACUCCUACGGGAGGCAGCAGUGGGGAAUAUUGCACAAUGGGCGCAAUCCUGAUGCAGCCAUGCCGCGUGUAUGAAGAAGGCCUUAGGGUUGUAAAGUACUUUCAGCGGGGAGGCGUUACCCGCAGAAGAAGCACCGGCUAACUCCGUGCCAGCAGCCGCGGUAAUAC
rnacentral:rRNA from 1 species